GGGGAGAGGGGUUAAGCCGACUUCUCCUUAGACACCUCUUCUGCUCAGCUGCUGUCUUCUUGUUUCUAGACCCACUCGAGUCGUGGGCAUCACCGACAGGGCGCGCGUCCUCACACGGUCACGUGGGAGGUCCCUUUAAGUUUGGGGAGAGCGAGGCCUCGCUGUCACAUGAUGGACACGGUGUGAUGAAACGGCAGGAACCGAGAAGCGAAGUGCGCCGGGGGCCACGAAAACACGAAGAAACUACGCAAUCGCUGUAAACAUGCUUUUCGCUGGCAGCCAGACGCUGAGCCGGGACGAGCCGAUCCGCCCCCUGCGGGCCACCCAAAGGCACCGCUCGGCCACGGCCUGACUGCACCUGCUUUCGCCGUUUUUUUCUCCGACGAGGAAGAUAAAGAGCGAAAGUGCGUCUUUAUCGCGUUUUGAACCGGGAAGCGGAAUCCAUUCCAUCCCGUCCCGCGAGGCCCGCAGCAUCCGCUCAUUCCAACCUGUGCAUUUGGAUGGAGGGAGUGACCCUGGAGAAACCCUCUGAGUCCAUCAGCAGACUCCUGUCCCAACGUUACUGCCGCCGGCCAGCCUGCCAGAAGGAGUUAAGGGAGCAGGAGUCCUUGAUCGCAAGUCUGGGUGCCAGGAAUGGCAAAAGAGCAAGGGAGCAGCUGCUCUCCGAGCACCCUGGGAGGAAGAGCUUGGAGCGUAACAUCACCAUCACCAUCACCAUUCAUGACCCUGAGUGUGUGGAAGUGGCUCCCUGGGCACUGCUUCCUGGAAGAAGAAAGGACCGGAAACUCAGCCACCCAUGUCUGCCAGACCACUUUCAGAUUCACUCUGUCGAAGCAAUCAUUCAAAAGAAGGAAGGAAACAAACUGGGGGCUUCACAACCGUCCACGGUGGGAGGAUCUUGGGUUUCAUGGCUUGCUACCACUGUGUACGGUCACUUCACAGUGUGGCUGGUGUCCAGGCCAAAACUCCACAGUGCCAUCUGUUGCUUGGUAGUAAAAUGA
rnacentral:lncRNA from 1 species